AAGGAUCAUUAAAGAGACGUUGCCCUUCGGGGUAUACCUCCCACCCUUUGUUUAUUAUACCUUUGUUGCUUUGGCGGGCCCGUCCUCGGACCACCGGCUUCGGCUGGUCAGCGCCCGCCAGAGGACCUAAAACUCUGUUUGUUCAUAUUGUCUGAGUACUAUAUAAUAGUUAAAACUUUCAACAACGGAUCUCUUGGUUCUGGCAUCGAUGAAGAACGCAGCGAAAUGCGAUAAGUAAUGUGAAUUGCAGAAUUCAGUGAAUCAUCGAAUCUUUGAACGCACAUUGCGCCCCCUGGUAUUCCGGGGGGCAUGCCUGUUCGAGCGUCAUUACAACCCUCAAGCUCUGCUUGGUAUUGGGCUCUGCCGGUCCCGGCAGGCCUUAAAAUCAGUGGCGGUGCCAUUCGGCUUCAAGCGUAGUAAUUCUUCUCGCUUUGGAGGCCCGGGUGCGUGCUUGCCAGCAACCCCCAAUUUUUUCAGGUUGACCUCGGAUCAGGUAGGGAUACCCGCUGAACUUAA
rnacentral:rRNA from 1 species